UACAAGGAAGCUUUGAUCCAAGUAAUGGUCCAGAAGCACAAACCGAUGCUUGUCAAUCAAGGUCAUUUGAUACGCAUUUCUUUUCCGUAAUCCAAAAGAGCAGUAAAGUAGAGACUGGACUAUUAUUGAUGUAGUAGGUUUCUGAGAAGAUUACGAAGAAUAGUUGUUGUUUUUUGAGACUCUUAAUUGUUGUUGAUUUUUGUACGUUUGAAUAGGGAGAAUUCAACCUUGAAUUACAAUUACAAUUGAGUAAAACACUCGUCGAGUCGCUGGUGAUGGUGAUGGUGGGGGUGGAGAACAAACUCCACAGAUGAAAUCAGAAGCGUCUUGACAAAGAAAAGGGCUUAGAACUUACCUUGAGGAGACUUUGUAGGCUUGCAUCGCUCUCAUAGAUUCUCAUGCACCUUUCUUACCUACAACCAUAUUCCACCUUUUGCAAGCUCUUCCAUGGAUGCACCCGUGCAUAGCCGCUGAGUCGUCGGUGUCUACCUAAGCUCUUCAUCCAGGAAGAAGAGCGAUGGAGCAGGCAAGAUAUUGGAUGCGGAUGACGAGCGGGCCUCGCCUCAGCACUCAGAUCCCCGGGCUCAUCGUUGGAUCCGCCUGCAACGAGUCAUGGGAGGAGAAGGCCUUCGCUGAAGACACCGCAGGCCACUUAGGAGGCUGCGUAUGGCCGCCGAGAUCUUAUUCGUGUAGCUUCUGCAGACGAGAAUUCCGAUCGGCCCAAGCUCUCGGCGGGCACAUGAACGUGCACCGAAGGGAUCGAGCCAAGCUCAGGGAAUCUGCGAGCCUCAGCGAGGAAGCCGCAGAAGAACAACGUCAACCGCAGGGUUCCUGCUCCAGUCACCACCAGAAGGAUUUGGAUCGAGGACACCCUUUUCUCUCCUUCCCUUUCUUCAUCUACCACUCGGGAGGACGUAAAGGAGUACUCGCUUCUUUCCACGACUACGCCUCUGGAUCUACUACUUGUGCCGGAACUAAAGCUUAGGGCAGAGGAUUUGGGGUCCAAGGAGUUUGGUCUCCGGAGAUGGAGAGACAUACAAGUCUGUGACGAGGAGGCCAACCGUAAGAAGAGAAGGAGAUGUGAUCAUCCAACGCCUGCUUUCUUCUUGAGAGCCUCUUCAGCAGAGCAGCAACAAGAUCGAUUUGAGGUUCUUAAUCCUAUCACAGUCGAAGACUUGGAUCUUGAACUUAGGCUUGGAGAUGCCCCUCUCAAAAUUAAGUAGGAAUUCAGAUC